AUUGCACUAAUCUUCACACCCGCCCUCUCCCUCACCCCCCCCCCCCCCCUUCCUUUUAAUUUUCGGUAACUGUAUUUCGUAUAUAUGUCUAUUCUCUGGCACAAAAAUUAAAUUUUGCAGUUAACUUUCAGAACUUACAUGUUGCUUCAUUUGCGGGUUUUAAUUUAGAAAAUUUGAGUCCUUUUGCAGGUUUCUGUCUAGAUGUAUUAAAAUGUUAGUAACCAUGUUUCUGCCCAUACUUAUAUAUUGUCAAUACUUGGGCUAAAUGAAUCAUAUUAUUCUGGUUAUGCUCUUUUUUCGCCUCUUACACUUGAACUUCUUCUAUGUGGAAGGGUGAGUUCUUCUUCAGCACUUGCGUCAGCGCAUAUGAAAAACAACAAUUGAUCUUCCCCGUUUAUUAAAAUGAGCGAACUUAUAUUCUUCUUGAGUCUGCACCAUUGAUUCCACUAUUAUUCAUGAGGAACUAAGUAUUACUGUGUUGUAGUUGUUUCUAUAUACUUUGAAUAUGCUCGCUCUAUAAGCAGUGCUGGUUGCAUUCUGCAAAUUUUUCGCCGCUUACUUGAUUUUACUUUUGUAUGAUAACGAGAUGAUGAGUUUGUUGUUAAGUAACGUGGCAUGAUGGUAAGUAACAUUGUUUUCCAUUUUAUGAUCCAAAAAACAUUGCUUGUGCGAAGAACAAAAGCUAUUCUGUGAGGUUACAAGCCAUUUACAAAGUAUGCUUUCGACAAUCCCAUUUUAAGCAUUCUAUCACAGUAAUUAAGUUAUUUGGCAUUACAUACGCUUUGACGUUUUAGGGCAGACUAUAGAACUGAUAAUAGCUACAUGUUCGGACAAGAUGACUAACGUAUUCAUGCUACCAGCCACUGAAGUGAGGCUUCUCUUAUGGAUUUAUUGCAGCAAUUCAGAGAACAAGAUAAUUACAGCCUAUGCAAAGCUCUAUGUUCACUUGCUAUGCAAAGCUCUCUCUGUUCACUUGCGCUAAACACAUCAUGUGUAGAUUCAACAUCCAAGAUUCACAAUUGCUAUGUCAUCCCACAGGAAGUAAAGGUUUAUGGUCAUCUUGCAUCUGCAAUCUCCACUGAUCCAACUUCUUGAGUAUCUCUUUCCGAGCUUUCCCCAUCAGCAUAUUCCGGUUUUCGAGCGACAUCAGCUCCCUGGUACUAUUAAACUUGCUAGAAGAGAAACCGUAAGUCCUUUCUACAUAUUGAGGUGCAUUGGAUCCAAAACGAAUUCCCUCUUCAUCCAGCCUUCUCUGUUUAAGAAGUGCCUCUCUAUGGCUCCCCCCCAUGAAUUAUCACGUUCUCUCUUCAUUCUCUCAUGUGCCUACUGGACAACAUUUGCUGCAAUUGAAGGAUCCAAGCUACCAACACCAACCUGCCGAAAGUUCGAGUAAUUUGCAGUAUUAGAAUUUGCGGCUGCUGUCUUACCAGCACUAGCAUUUCUUCCCAUACGGAUCUAAACUGUAUUUUCUAACUUAAUAUAUUGAACAGAUUACGGCACAUACCCGUUGCAUACAUAACCACGUAAAACCACAUAUACACCAGCAUCUCACUUGAACUCAGCAUGCUUUCAGUCAAAGAAUUAGUAAGAUUCAGACAGUCUUAAAGGCUGUGUUUGUACUUUUUCUCUGUCCACACAGGACUGAAAUUCAUUUCAAGUUAUUAUAGUAUAUGAUCUUUCCUUUUGUCCAAACUGAUAAAAAUUCUUUUUAACAUUAUAACAUACACCAAAAGUAUAGACAAACAUUGUAUAUCACACAACCAACAACUAUUCAGUAUUUUCAGUAUAAUGAUCUGUUACUCUCUGGUUUUAAAAUCCUCAUGGCAGCAAGUCCAUUUAUGAAUUAUUAGUGAGGAUAAACUUAGUAGGCGUUUGACCAUGACAACCAAAAAUAUUUCACUUUAUUUGGAAUUCUGAAGUUGGAGUUGAAACCGGAGAU